GGGUCAGUAGGUUGGUCGUGCCACCGGUACGUACUGGUCUCACUGAUUCCUCCUUCCUGAAGAACCGUAAUGCCAUUAAUUUGGUGGUGCGGGGAAACAGGACUGUUACUUUGAAAAAAUUAGAGUGUUUAAAGCAAGCUAACGCUUGAAUACAUUAGCAUGGAAUAAUGAAAUAGGACGAUCGAUCCUAUUAUGUUGGUUUCUAGGAUUGACGUA
rnacentral:rRNA from 1 species